rnacentral:rRNA from 1 species
UACGGAGGAUCCAAGCGUUAUCCGGAUUCAUUGGGUUUAAAGGGUGCGCAGGCGGAAUGAUAAGUCAGUGGUGAAAGCCUGUUGCUUAACAACAGAACUGCCAUUGAUACUGUCAAUCUUGAGUACAUUUGAUGUGGGCGGAAUGUGUCAUGUAGCGGUGAAAUGCUUAGAUAUGACACAGAACACCGAUUGCGAAGGCAGCUCACAAAACUGUAACUGACGCUGAGGCACGAAAGCGUGGGUAUCAAACAGG